AUCUGCUCCACGCAUUUUGUUUUUUUUUUCGCGAUCACGGAGAUGGUGAGAGCGAGCUCAGUUCUGCUAUGGAGUCUCUUCCUUUUUGGAACCCUAGCACUUGUUCAGGCAAAGGAAGAUCCAAAGGUCACUCACAAGGUUUAUUUCGAUGUGGAGAUUGAUGGAAAACCUGCUGGUCGCAUUGUUAUGGGUCUCUUCGGGAAGACAGUCCCCAAAACCGCAGAAAACUUCCGAGCUUUGUGCACAGGGGAGAAAGGCGUUGGGAAGAU